CCCGCAGCCCUCAAAUCAUACAUCACGCCACGAUCCCCUUCCUGUCCCCCACGCACGGGCGGUCGCCGCCGCCGCCUUCCUCGCUGAGUCCGCGGCCGAAAUCCACGCCGGGAGAAGAGGUAUCCAUCCCUUCGACGCCUUCCUCUCCCUCAAGCCUCGACCUCGCCGGCAGCCCUCCUCCCGUCCCAAGUCCAGGAGACGCAUGGGAACGGCGGCGGUGGCGAGGCGUCUCGCGCGCACGGACACCCCCACCCUACGCCCGCUCGUGCGCGCUGCCCUGCGAGGUUUAAGGCAUCGCGCCUGCUGCGCUCCCCUGUGGCGAUGAUGUGGCUUACUGCUGCCAUACAGCGCCUCAUCGAGGAGUAGAGCAGCUGCCCCAUGCCAGCCAAGAUCUUCCAGAUCCUCUCCACCCAGCCACCGUCAUUGCAGGAGGACUUUAACGAGUGGUCACCAAGAAGCUGCCCCAAAUCCUACAAGAGGCUCAGGUUAGACGAGCCGCUGACAAAGACACACCUCUAUUCUGAAUUUUUACAUGCGAAGAUGGACCAUCAGCUACGGAAUAUGUUGGCUAACCUCUCACAGGUUGCUAACAAAUUUUUUCUUAUUGUCAUCUUGAUGAUGGCUACAGAUAUGGACACCUGUAUACAUAUGGGAUGUUUCCUCCGUCAAUGCCGUCCUUUAAUCCAGUUAAUGAUGCUGAAGUUUUCAAUGGCUUUGGCACCGCAUACAUAUGGGAUGUUUCCUCCGUCAAUGGCUCAAUGCUGUCCUUUAAUCCAGUUAAUGAUGCUGAAGUUUUUAAUGGCUUUGGCAUGCAAAGCCAUCCAAAUGUGGAAAAUAGAUCUCUUGGUUGCAAUGAGGGAGUUGUAUAUGAAGAAGCUCUACAGCAUAUCAGUCAAGAAACAAAGGAAGAAGAUCUGUCUCAAGCAGGAUUUAAUCGAUGGAGUUCCGCUGCUAAAGGACGUGAGAGGCAGUCCCAUCAUUGGAAGUUUACUGUUUGAAUCACAAGGAUCUGGGAUUACAUAAGCACAUACUUUACUGAAUUCUAUAGUUCUAUUUGUUGGCACAUCGGUUGAUCAGUUUUGAGGUAUGCUAGCAUUCAAAUCUACUUCGGACACCAGAUCACACAUCAAAAUUUUGAUACCUGAAAUGAUAGCUUCAGAAGAAGAGUAUCAAAAUAGAUUCAUGGUCUCUUUGCUUAGUUCUAUGCUUCUCAAAAUGCUUUAGUAUAUGCCCAUAAUAUCAUAGUACGAAUUGUUCUGUGAGCAGUUUCCUUUGUCUACCAUCAGGGAUAGUAAUUCAUUCGGUAAUCUGAUAUGUAUAUGUUCUGCAUUUCUGACUGAAAUAAUGGCAAGUUUGGCUUUGGCAAUUGGUGUGUGUAGUUUUUUCAGUUGAUAUAAUUUGAUCAUGCUGAAGGCAAGAUAUACAUCAUGGUUACUUCACGUAGCUUAAAGGGUCUGGGUCAGUGUUAAAUGUGAAAUAGCUUCACCGGGCAAGUUGUUUCACUUCUUUACAUUCAAGAGUUAAACCAGGGACGAAGCACAAUCAGACACUCUGUUUUUGCAAAAUAUUUUCUACCUUCCUCUGUCGUUGAAGUGUAUUGGCUUUCUUUCUUACAAUACAAAACUGAAAAGUAUUGUUUAAUAAACUAUAAUCGAAUUUUUCUAAGGUGGAGAUGAGAAAAAUUGUGAACAAGAUAGAACACACUCAGUAUGGUAUCUGUGUUUCUUAAUCAAGGUCCUGAAUUUAGCUUGAUGAACUAUCAAUUCAAAUAGAUCAAAGAACAAUGGUUAUAACUUUAGUAGGGCAUUCUGUCCUGGAAAUACAAUUGUUGAUAGAUCUGCUUUCCUGCGAUCAAGAGACAAAGAAAACUGGAACGAAGCAAUCCUGUUACUGAAUUUUCGUAUAUAUACGUGCGUCAUCCCUCAAGAGAACUCUUAGUCAGAGUCGAACUCUGCAUCCUCUCCGUCUUCGGUGGCUUUGGGGAGAGGAGCGGAGUGGGGUUUGGAUCCCGUGGAUGCGGACGAGAGAAGCAAAACAUUGAUGCCGGCGGCAAGGGCCUUCCCGAGACUCCUAACGUGCUGCUUGACAGAGCCUGGACAUGUGCCACGGAGGCUCGCCGCCGUCGGGAUCCGGCCACCACGGGCUCCCAGCGUCAGAUCCGUAGGUACCGGAACCAAUCUUGCAGCCACCGUUUGUUUCUCUCGGAGCAAGUGCCACCAUUGGGAUCCGGCUACCACGAGCUCCCCAGGGUGGAUCCGUCUGUCCUGGAGCCGACCCUGCACCCUGUGCUCCUUUCUCUCGGAUCAAGCAAGCGAUUGACGCAGCAGCGGCACGAGGGAACGAGCUCUGCCUUGAGGUGCCACUGGGGCAGACAACCACGAGCUCCUCCACCACCAUCUCCUCCCCUACCCGGGUUCAUCUGCUCAUCUGCACCGUCAUGGCGGCUAGCAUCAGUACCUCUAUCCUCCUCACCAGUUACGUCACACACCGAUAUCAAUAGGGACUGUACCUUGCUUCGUUCCGACGCGUGGAGGCUGGCCUCCUCGCCCACCCCGUACUGCACUGCUGCAAGGACAAACCAACCCAGGAGGAGGCAAAUAAUGUAGUCAAGCAAACGCACAUAGUACUAUAGGGUCUGAUCACUUCCUGUGUGUACAUUGGUACUGAGUUCAGAAUGCAUGCCAUCCAACUCAUGCAUCAUAUAUAAGUGAUGGCUUGCUGUUGCUGAAUUGUGAACCAUACAUCUACAAAGAAAAUCAUGGGAAACUUCCUUCCGUGUAAAUUGUGUUUGUACAGAUCAACUGCAGCUGUGUAUGUAUUGCUGAAUAUUUAUGAUAUGCAGAGGGUUGUACACACAUUUUUUCAAGGGGAGUAAAAGGGCAGUUGUUGUCAACCUGCAUGUGCUCUAUAACAGACUUGCUUACUAAUCGUGUUGGAGGAUGCCGAUGCUGCCAUAAACAUGUCUAUGAUUUAAUGACCUGCAUCCCAGCUCAAAUCUUGUGCCUCCAUUGAUUUUGUUGUUUUUGCAUAGCUUCUGAAGGUCAAUGUAGCCAGUGAGUGUGCCCUCGAAAUCAACGUCCUUCAUAUUAGCAUCGUCGAAGGUUGGUCCUGACAAGACGGCGUUCUUAAAGAUUGCAGCUUUGACAUCAGCUUUUCAAAAAGAAUUGAGGGCUUUCGGCUUUUCCAAAAUUGGCAGCGUUCGUGAAGCUCGUGCCUGAAAGUAUUUCGAAGAGAAGUGUCUAUCUUCAUGUUCAUAAUGAAACAUGCUUGGAGCAAAGUUAUAUCUCAAAGGGUUUGUAUUUGGGAGAAAUCACAACAAUACACUGUGGUGAAUAAACAAGCAUUUUAUGUCUGUCUAUGAUCAAUGUAAGGGUACAUAUGAAAGGGUCAGUAUUUGGAAGCAAUGAAAACAAUGAACAAAGCAGUGUGGUAUAAAA